AGUGGUGCUGCUUCCGGCCGCUGAGCUCCACGGUGGGGAUGCCCUCCAUGAUGCGGUAGUCGGCCAGGGAGACCAAGGAGAGGACUCAAGGGCUGACCCUUGCCCCUGCCCACUUCAGGAAGCAGGAGUUCAGCUUCUGUGCCCCAGGUCGUCUCUGGGGGGGCCCAUGACCAAGGAGUGGGAAGGCUCACCUUGGGAGAGUGAAGGUGCGUCCUGUCCGGAAAUAUCAGAUAAAAGAAUCACGGACCCACCCUCUUUCCUCUUGCUCUACUGUCAAGCUAAGCUCUGCUGCUGCAAAAAGUCCCUCCUCUAGACCCACUGAAAUAUUUUUUAUUUCUAUAAAUUCAUGGAGUACAAGAGCAAUGUUGUUACAUGCAUAGUGGCCAAGUUAGGGCUUUAGGUUACCCAUCACCCAAAUAAAGUAUAUUGUACCCAUUAAGUAAUUUCUCAUCAUCCACCCCCUCCCAUCCUCUCACCCUUGAGAGUCUCCAUUGUCUAUUGUUUUGCUAUGUCCAUGUGUACACAUUUUUUUUUUAAUGGAGUCUCGUUCUUGUCACCCAGCCUGGAAUGCAAUGGCAUGAUCUCGGCUCACUGCAACCUCUGCCUCCUGGGUUCAAGCGAUUCUGCUGCCUCAGUGUCCGGAGUAGGUGGGAUUACAGGUGCCUGCCACCAUGCCCGGCUACUUUUUGUAUUUUUAGUAGACACGUGGUUUCGCCAUGUUGUCCAGGGUGGUCUCGAACUCCUGACCUCAGGUCAUCUGCACGCCUCUGCCUCCCAAAGUGCUGGGAUUAUAGGUGUGAGCCACCACACCUGGCCCAUGUGUACACAUUUUUUAACACCCAUUUAUGGGUGAGAACAUUCGGUAUUUGACUUUCUGGUCUGGCUUGUUUCACUUAAGAUAAUGACUUCUAGUUCCAUCCAUGUUGCUGCAAAUGACAUGAUUUCAUUUUUUUCAUGACUGAAUAGUAUUCCACUGUGUAUAUAUACCACAUUUUCUUUAUCCAGUCAUCCAUUAGGGCACUUAGGGUGAUUCCAUAUCUUUGCUAGUGUGAAUAGCGCCACAAUAAAUAAGGCAUCUUUUUGAUAUGUUGAUUUCUUUUCCUUUGGGUAUAUACCACUGAAAUAUUAAUAACUGACAGUUGUUUAGCACUUACUAGGUCCCAGGUAUUGGGAAAAGGGCUUGUGGGGUGCCUGUAUAAACUGGCCAUAAAAAUAUGUGACAGUAAGCUGUGGAAAGUCACAAAAGGCCUCUGAGGAGGAAAGCGUUCUUAUCGCCAUUAUGUUCCCAUGCUCUGAGCGUUAACCUGCUGUCUUAUCUAUAAACACUGUGUUCAAGGAGAAAGACACUCCUUUGAAACCUGGAAGGUGGACAGACGCGCAGGCUCCUAGUUAAGCCUGUUCCCACUAGCUGCUCUCCGAUAAGUUAAAGAUGUGCUGUUUGAGCACAAAGGAGAUUCGUUUAAACCGCUAUUGCUAUAGAUUACGCCUGUGACGCACUGCCUCCCUUUCAGUGUUUCACCCUGAACAUCUGCUUCUUAGAUCUAAGUGACUGUACUCAAUAAAUAGUGUGGAGACCAGAACUCUGGGCCUUUUGCAGCCUCCAUUUUGCAACUGCCUCCCUGGCCCCCACUCUUUUUGCACUCUUAACCUGUCUCUUCUCAUUCCUUCGUCACCACCGGACUUUGGGUACCCUACAGGUGGUGUUGAGGCUGGUCCCCAACACCAGGCACUUUGUAGACACUUUACUUUUAUUAAUCUAAGCCUAAGAAGCACCCUAUGAGGCAGGUGACUAUUACUAUAGGCUGGUGACCCCUUCGUCACAACUGCAAAGUACAGAAAGCUGUGGAAAUCAAGUUUGUCUGUUUGUUCCACAACAAAUUCAUUGGUUGACAAAGCCUGCUGUGAAUCUCCCUGAGGCUAUAUACAAUCUUUAUUUAACUCACUGGGUCUAACUAUUCAUAGUUUUUACUGGGAAGUGUUAGUAUAUUUGAUUGGGGUGCCCUGUGGUAGAUAUAGCACAUAAUAUAUGGGGUAUGUGUGUGAUAUAGAUUUAUAGAUGAAGAUAUAUAUGUAUACAUAUACAUAUUUUAUAUAAACAUACACACAUGUGUACAGAUACAUGUGUAUGUAGCUUCUCAAUAAAAUCCGAAUUUCAAAGCACCCCUGGAAUCAACAGUUUCAGCUAAAGGACUGUAUCCCCAUGCCCAUUUUACAAGGAGAAACAGUCGCUAUUAUGUAUUACGUGGGGACAAGGCUGGAUUUGCCCCGUAGUGGGCUGCUUCUGACCACCAACAGUUGUUAAGCCUUUUAAAAUUCUGUUCAGGCCAGGUGCGGUGGUUCACGCCUGUAAUCCCAGCACUUUGGGCGGCCAAGGCAGGUGGAUCAUGAGGUCAGGAAUUCAAGACCAGCCUGACCAACAUGAUGAAACCCCAUCUCCACUAAAAAUACAAAAAUUAGCUGGGUGUGGUGUUGCAUGCCUGUAAUCCCAGCUACUCUGGAGGCUGAAGCAGGAAAAUCACUUGAACCCAGGAAGCAGAGGUUACAAUGAGCUGAGAUCAUGCCACUGCACUCCAGCCUGGGUGACGAAGCGAGACUCUGUCUCAAAAGAAAAAACAAAAACAAAACAAAAAAAAACAACUCCGUUCAGAUGUCAUCUUAUUGGAUUCUCACAUCCACCCUAUGAAGUAGGUUCUGUUGUUAUCUCCAUUUUACAGAUGAGGGAACCAAGGCUUAGAAGAAUUUGGAAAUGUGGCCGGGUGCGGUGGCUCACACCUGUAAUCCCAGCACUUUGGGAGGCCAAGGCAGGCAGAUCACAAGGUCAGGAGAUCGAAACCAUCCUGGCUAACACGGUGAAACCCCAUCUGUACUAAAAAUACAAAAAAUUAGCCGGGCGUGGUGGCACUCGCCUGUAGUCCCAGCUACUCAGGAGGCUGAGGCAGGAGAAUCACUUGAACCUGGAAGGUGGAGGUUGCAGUGAGCCGAGAUUGCGCCACUGCACUCCAGGGCGACAGAGCGAGACUCCAUCUCAAAAAAAAAAAUUUGAAAAUAUGCCCAAAUGUCCAGCUAGUCAGUGGAAGAACUGAGACCUAAGUCCAGGUCCGUCUUUCUCCAGCACCCUGGCUGGUGGUCCCCAGGCUGGCCUGUGCCUACCGCUGCAGCCCAUCAUUUCCCCUCAAGUCCCUUACCUCACCACCCUCUCCCUCCUCCACCUGCCUCAGCUCAUGUUGUAUUCUGGAUGAACAGUGCUCCCUGGAGUUGUGCAACCCAGAGACCUAGCUCGUUUUCAUCCCCAGGGCGGAAGACUCACUCCUUUGAGGGCCCUAUGGGUGACUCAAGUCUCCCUGUCCUGUUGCGUGGCAGCGGCCCCACCCAACCCCAUUCCUGCCUGGCCACCAGCAUCACCCUGCCUGUCCCCUGCUUCCAUGUCACCCAGACCUGUCACUGCAGGAAGAUGCUCUGUGUCCCCAGUGAGACCCUCCCCUUGGCAUGCUCACCAUCUCCCAGGCUUUCCUCGCCUCUCCUUUCCCCAGCUCAGGCCCUGUUCCCCAAUCCUGGGGGAAGAUUCCAGCACAGGGCAAUGAGAAACGGAAGAGAGGUAGUCAGCUGCAGGGAGGAUGGGGCUUCGGGCCCUGGGUGUCCUCAGCUCAGCCUUUCCCUCCCAUUCGCCUCAAGGGAAGCCAACAGACACUCAGGUGGUGGAACUGGGAGAUAAGAGAGGACAGGCCCCCAGUCCUCAUGCAGCACCACAAAUUAGGAAGCUGACCCCAGCCCACCACACAAGGGGCUCUGGCAGGGGUGGGUGCAAGGAGCUCAGCCACUCCGGUCCUAUGUCUCUCCCAUGGGAGUAACCAAGCAAGUGGAAAACCCACUGGGCAGCCUUGGCCAGCCUUAACCUUGGAGAAACCCUGACAGUCUAUCUGAAUAACAGGGCCCCUAUUAGAUAGAUCCUUACUGGAUUAAGGGGGGCCUUUUGGAGUAACAGUGCAUCCUGUUAGAGAAAUAUGG
rnacentral:lncRNA from 1 species